rnacentral:rRNA from 1 species
UACGAAGGGGGCGAGCGUUGUUCGGAAUUACUGGGCGUAAAGGGCGCGCAGGCGGCUCGACAAGUCAGAUGUGAAAGCCCGGGCUCAACCUGGGAACGGCAUUUGGGACUGUCGGGCUAGAGUUCGGGAGAGGUGGGUGGAACUGCGAGUGUAGAGGUGAAAUUCGUAGAUAUUCGCAAGAACACCAGUGGCGAAGGCGGCUCACUGGCCCGGUACUGACGCUGAGGUGCGAAAGCGUGGGGAGCAAACAGG